rfam:Rhodospirillales bacterium RIFCSPLOWO2_12_FTLL_58_28 rifcsplowo2_12_scaffold_300, whole genome shotgun sequence.
GGGGCCGUAGCUCAGUUGGGAGAGCGCUUGAAUGGCAUUCAAGAGGUCAGGGGUUCGAUUCCCCUCGGCUCCA